AUCAUUGAGGCAGCCGGUACAAAAGCGUAGUCCGCUCGCCGGCUCUUCCUCUGCUCCCAUUGUCGCCUGUCACUUUUAGUGUGAGGUCACGUCUCCGAUCGGGCGACUGGUUGGGUGCUGCUCCGUGCUGUGUGUGCACGCUGCUGUGGGUUGAUCGGCAGUGGUGCAUGCUGGCAGCUGCCUGAAGCUCUCUUCCUUUUCCUCUCGUGAGCGUUUGUUACUACAAGAAGGUACGUCUGUAUAUUGUGAAAUAUAAUCAACUUAAUCAUAACGUACGUAGCGGUUGUUAAUAAUGUUCUUUCGAUUAGGUGAUCUUAACCACCUAACGGCCGCUGCUGCUUUGUAGCCACUGAGUUUUGGUUCAUGCUGGUGGCCGCUGCGGGCUCGUGUGGCGUCAUUCGGUGGCCGUCGGAAACGUUACCGCCGACUGCCAGCCCAAGCAUACGCCGGGCCAAAGCGAUCGUUCGGCUGCAGCCCCGCACGACUGUUUUUACCGGGGAUUUUCCCCCUUAUACGGAGCGAGUGUGUGUGUGUGUGUGUGUGUGUGUGUGUGUGUGGGAGAAAGUGUGCAAUAUUGUUUUUGGGUAUUGUGUCUGGGUUAAAUGGGAUUUUGUUUAUGUAAUUUUAUUUAGUUAAUUUCAAGAUUGUGUUUUGUAAUUUAAGUAAUUUGAUUUUGUUUUGGUUUUCUUUCAUUUUCUCUUUCCUUGUCAGUAGUGAAGUUAUGUGAUUUAUUUAGGCCUGUGACCUGCCCGUGUUUAGUUCUGUUUUGCUUUUGUUUUGAAUGUAUGAAUCCCCACUAAUUUGUUAUUAUCCUCCUCCUGUUUCAGUUGCUGUAGGCCGGUGGUGGUGGUGCUGGUGGUCUGGUGGUGGCAUCCUCCC